GAUGAACGCUGGCGGCGUGCCUAAUACAUGCAAGUCGAGCGAACAGACGAGGAGCUUGCUCCUCUGACGUUAGCGGCGGACGGGUGAGUAACACGUGGAUAACCUACCUAUAAGACUGGGAUAACUUCGGGAAACCGGAGCUAAUACCGGAUAAUAUAUUGAACCGCAUGGUUCAAUAGUGAAAGACGGUUUUGCUGUCACUUCUAGAUGGAUCCGCGCCGCAUUAGCUAGUUGGUAAGGUAACGGCUUACCAAGGCAACGAUGCGUAGCCGACCUGAGAGGGUGAUCGGCCACACUGGAACGUAGACACGGUCCAGACUCCUACGGGAGGCAGCAGUAGGGAAUCUUCCGCAAUGGGCGAAAGCCUGACGGAGCAACGCCGCGUGAGUGAUGAAGGUCUUCGGAUCGUAAAACUCUGUUAUUAGGGAAGAACAAAUGUGUAAGUAACUAUGCACGUCUUGACGGUACCUAAUCAGAAAGCCACGGCUAACUACGUG
rnacentral:rRNA from 1 species